GCUCUGGUACUCAGGUCCACCACCCAGAGGCCACCUUUGCCCCAGAUUCCAGUAGUCCUGCUACCUUCCACCCACCACUCGUAUGUGGUCUUCUGUCAGUCUCCCUCCAGGACUCCCUCAGGGCUGGGGACCAGGUGUGUCACCAGCCAGAUGCACAGAAAUCCUGGGCCCAACAGAGCUCAGCACAGGAAACAGGCCUCGCUGAAGGACUGCACAGCUAUUUUCCUAGCAGCCUCAGAGUUGGUACCUGGGAAGCCUCUAGACUCAUCCAGAUUUUCGGCUACCAUUUCAAAAGUGAAGUCCACAAAGGGUUGACAAGUGUGCAAUCUGGAAGGUGGGCCUGCAGGCUGGAAAUUCAGAGAUGGACCUGGAUGCUCUCACACCACACCAAACCCAGCGCUGGGACAGACAGUACACAGAUGUCUUGGUCACAGGUCCCACCUCUAAGAGCUCACAGCAUUGGACACAGAUGGCCACAAUCUGGCAUGUUCAUAGCAGAGGAGGCAAGCACUAAGGAGGGAGCUGCUGCCUGGGGGAUCAGGAAGGCUUCCUGGAGGAGGAGACCAACAGGCCCAGGGUGCAGUGAGCAGGAGAACAUUCCCUCAGAAUUCCUGAGAGUUUUCCCGCAGACCCAAAUUCAUGGGUCCAGAGUCAGCCUUCUCUUCCAGAUGACUCACUGAGAAGGAGCUUGUACCACCUGUGAAGGGACAAAGAAUAAAUAUCUGCUGGGAGAUCUGUCAGCUUGCUGGGGACUUUCACGCCACCCACUCAGUAAACCCUUCCAGCCAUCAUGAGUGGAGCCAUGUCAUCACCUCCAUUGUUGCAGAGGAGGACUGGAAAGCUGCCUAUGCAAGGUGACCCAGCCAGUCAGAGGACAAGCUUGGACUCGAGCCUGGCUCCUUAUGACAGAGAUGGCUUCACCCAUCUUUGGUAGGUCCCCAGCCUCCGUCUCCUUCAAUGAUCAGCGUUAUGGAGCCCUCUGUGCCAGGCACGCUGCUAAGGGCAGGUUGUCUUAUUUCUCUUCACGCUCAAGGUGGAGGUGCAAUGAAAGUAUUAUACUGAUGAGCUCCCAGGGCUCAGAGAGGUUGUCACCCGCCCCAGGUCACACAGCCCUGCAGGAGUGAAGCUGAGCCCUGCAACCUGUCCUACUGGUUCCAGAGCUCUGCUCCUGCCCACCUACACGGUCCACCUCUCUUCUUGACCUCACUUAGCCUCCUCUGAACAACAUCCUUGGGGUGAACAUUAAGAAGCCUCUUGUACCAAUUCAACACCAAAUCCCAUCACUAAUUACAACUAUAAUGCACCAAAAAUAAUAUGAAAAAAAAAAAAGAA